UUUUUUUUUUUUUUUUUUUUAAUUUUGCAAAGCUGGAUAUGGCCUCUCUGAACAAGGUUUGCUUCUACGAUUCUGGGACAAAGUCCGGCAAUGUAAGAGAUGGAAAUGGUUGUGGGUGGAAUCUAAUCCAACCCCUCACAUUCCUCUUGAGGAAACAAAGCUCAGGGAGUUUUGGUCAUUUCCCCAGAGUGAUUCCAACCCCUUGUAACGUAUAGUAAAGGCCUUAACCCCAAGAACAAUGGGAGCUCAUGAAGGCAUGCCACAAUAGAGACGUGAUCAGAAGUCAAUCUCCUUGGUCACUUUCUACUCCAUCGUGCUUCUGCCAAAAUUAAGGAAUGGCUUCUUUCUGAAGUUCGGGUCAAACUGAUCAUUUAUUGGUGCUGCAGAGACGAAGGCAAGGAAAUGAGAAGAGUAGAUGAUAAACUCCCGUGAGAGAGAAAGGACAGUGAGAGGCGAGUGUGAGAGCCAAGCGGCACAUGCUCCCAGUCACUGCAGCUGACGGCCUGAGUCACAGGGAAGGCAGGUGUUUGGAGAGGCAGCAAGGGAUGGAGGCACGAGUGGAGUUGGGUAAAACCAUCCAAAGGACACUCAGAGCUUCAAGGAGUGUUUCAGAGGAAGCAACGCCCAACAGUACUGGCAUUUGGAGUCUACAGUAAGGAUUGAGAACAACCCCACUCCUCAGUAUUACCCUCAGUGAAACAUCUAUUCAGAAUCUAUUCAGAGUUUAUUGAGCACCUCCUAUGCUUCACCCUGUAGAUUCAGCAGCAUAACAUCCAAGCCAGCCUAGACCCUGCCCUUGUAGAGCACACAGUCAAGUGGAGGAUACAGACAUUAAACAUGGAGCGAUUCAAUGACAAGAGGAGAGAGCACCAACAAGGAGGACACAGAGAGGUCUGACUGAGCCAGGGCAAUGGGCAAUGGGAGUGGAGGAGGCUUCCCUGGAGAGGUCACAUUUAAGAGGUUCUUGAUGAACAUGCGGAUCUUUGCUAGCGAUGCAAGGCAAGAAGAGUGUUCCAGCAGAGAAAAAGCAUCUGGAAAAGCCUUGGGUAUAAGGGACUCAGCUCAUAACCACUGGACAGUAGGUCAUGGUGGCCGGAAGAUAGGAAGAGAAGGGGAAGGGGGCUGGCCAUGACCUUCUCCAUGAAAGAUGCCACACUGACCUCAGAGCAAUGGGAACUCAUUAAAGACAUAAUCAAAUCUGAGCUUUUCAAAAACCACACCAGCCUUGGGGUAGAGAAUGGUUUGUCGUGUGCGUGAGAGAAUGAAGGGAGACCAGCGUAAAUUCUACUGAGGUUACCUCAGCGAAAAGUGGUGGGGGCUGGGUCUGGUGGGCACAUGGGAGAUAGAAGUGAGCAGUUUCAAGGACUCUUUAGAAGUUAGGAUCAAGGGAACAUGCUGAGAGACUGGAUGUGAGGGGACACGGUGGGGAGGUGUCAACUCCCAGGAGGAUGGUUGCAGCAUGUCUGAGACAGGGCGCAUUUGAGCUGGAAGGUCUGAGCACAGCGUUGGGCAUAUUGAGUUUGAGAUGCAUGAGACCACCAAGGAGGGAGCCAGGGCGUGGAAUCAGGCAUCCUCUGCAAGUGAGUGCCCCAUGGUAAGCAGAGGCACAGGGAAGAAUGACAUUGAAUCGAAAG
ensembl:lncRNA